rnacentral:misc_RNA from 1 species
UGUAUGAGUUGUGWUUGGGWUGUUUUUGCUGGCUGGCUCCGUGCUUUUGCAUCGAACGGUUGGCAUGCAACUCCGUUUCAAGUACACCUCGCAUCUUAGAUGCGGCGGUGCGCGGCCCCGGUUCCUGUGUUGCCUACCUCUUGAAUGGUAUUCGUGUUGCUUGUUGGAUUUGUCCAUCCAGUUCCCCCCCGUGGGGUUCUGGGGGACUUCGAAGUGAUACACAUGCUCCACCUUAGCUAUUCGUGAUUGAAUGAAGCAAUCGUGGUGCAUUUGUAUCUGCUGCUCUCUCGGAUGCGGUGCAUGAGAUGAAACAUGGGAAGAUUUCCCAUCGAGUCCCUCAAAUCUCGGUUGCCUUGAAYGACACUUGCCUUCGUGCUUGCUUGCUCUCCACUCGUGGCCGCAUGCAGGCAUCGACGUGCAAAGUUGUUAACGGAUG